rnacentral:rRNA from 1 species
CCCUUAGAUGUUCUGGGCCGCACGCGCGCUACACUGACGUAUGCAACGAGCUUAUAACCUUGGCCGAAAGGUCUGGGUAAUCUCCAAAUUUCGUCGUGAUGGGGAUAGAUUAUUGCAAUUAUUAAUCUUCAACGAGGAAUGCCUAGUAAGCGCAAGUCAUCAGCUUGCGUUGAUUACGUCCCUGCCCUUUGUACACACCGCCCGUCGCUCCUACCGAUUGAAUGGUCCGGUGAAGCGUUCGGACCGUGGCCUUUGGACGGUUCGCCGUCUGUUGGCUGCGGGAAGUUCGUUAAACCUUAUCAUUUAGAGGAAGGAGAAGUCGUAACA